rnacentral:rRNA from 1 species
UACGGGGAGGGCAAGCGUUGUUCGGAAUUACUGGGCGUAAAGGGCUCGUAGGUGGCCAACUAAGUCAGACGUGAAAUCCCUCAGCUUAACUGGGGAACUGCGUCUGAUACUGGAUGGCUUGAGAUUGGGAGAGGGAUGCGGAAUUCCAGGUGUAGCGGUGAAAUGCGUAGAUAUUCGCAAGAACACCAGUGGCGAAGGCGGCUCACUGGCCCGGUACUGACGCUGAGGUGCGAAAGCGUGGGGAGCAAACAGG